UACAGAGGGGGCAAGCGUUGUUCGGAAUUACUGGGCGUAAAGGGCGCGUAGGCGGCCUGUUAAGUCGAACGUGAAAUCCCCGGGCUCAACCCGGGAACUGCGUCCGAUACUGGCAGGCUUGAAUCCGGGAGAGGGAUGCGGAAUUCCAGGUGUAGCGGUGAAAUGCGUAGAUAUCUGGAGGAACACCUGCGGCGAAGGCGGGUUGCUGGGCCGACACUGACGCUGAGGCGCGAAAGCCAGGGGAGCGAACGGG
rnacentral:rRNA from 1 species